GUCGUGAGAUGUUGGGUUAACGUACCCGUAACGAGCGCAACCUUGUCUUAGUUACCAGCACGUUAUGGUGGGCACUCUAAGGAGACUGCCGGUGACAAACCGGAGGAAGGUGGGGAUGACGUCAAGUCAUCAGGGUGCCCUUACGGCCUGGGCUACACACGUGCUACAAUGGUCGGUACAAAGGGCAGCUACCUGGUGACAGGAUGCUAAUCUCAAAAGCCGGUCUCAGUUCGGAUCGGAGUCUGCAACCCGACUCCGUGAAGCUGGAAUCGCUAGUAACCGCGCAUCAGCCAUGGCGCGGUGAAUACGUUCCCGGGCCUU
rnacentral:rRNA from 1 species